AGAAGUUGGGUGGCAGGCAGUCUCCUGUCCCUGGCUGCCCGAGAUAGCCGUGGGAGGUAGAAAUUGGCAGGACCAUUUUUGAUCGUUCUAUUCAAAGCUAGUUGUAAUUUUCUCAGGUUUCAUAUGGGCAGGAAAAAACAUGUCCGAGAAAGAGACAGACAUACACAAUCGAAAUAUUGAAUCAGGAAAAUAUUGCACGUGGACUAGCUCUGGGGCAACAAAUUUGAGAUUGCAAGGGAAAAUUGAUGAGCAGAGAAGGAAUGGAGGGCAAGUGCCUGACGGCAGGGGAUUGGAGUCAGGCCGAUACAGCCAAUCUCAGAGGAGAAUCCUGACCUGAGUCGUGCAAAGCUGUGUUUGCCUGAUGAACCUAUUAUGACUCCAUCCACCUCCACUGCAAGGUUUGCUUCUUCCUCUGUGCUGAUGAUUGGAUGUCUCCACUGUCUCAAUAGUCCAGCUCUUUGCCUUCAGAACUUUGCUUUGGGGUUUCCUCUGGCUGGAAGAGUCCUCUCCAAAAAUGGAUCCCUUUGCUCUCUCCAAGUUAUCCUGUCUGACUGAACCCUCCAUUGUGUGGGGGUUUUGCUUUAUAUCUCUGUUUUGUCACAUUUUCAGUUGCGUGUUAAUAUAUAAAAGCUUAAGGAAACUAUUAUCCAUUGAAGAAAUCAUGUUGGUAACCCAAAUCUCCAGUUUGGAAUUAUUUCUUAGGUGCAAUUUAUGAAGUGAUCAAGCUAUGGAGAAUUUCUUGCCUGCAUAAACUUCUAAGGAGAUUAAAGUAAGAUGAUACAAUAAUGAUUUUAUGGGUCAGGAUAGAAUAAAAUUAAGCAGAGGGUAAAAUUAUAAGUAGUUGCCUACUUGAGUAUGAGUGAUCAUUUUAAAUGGAUUCCAGUAUAAGUAAGUCCUCUGUAUCAUAUGCAAAUGUGUGUCCAACAGUCACCAAUCCAUCUGUCUGUCCACUAACUUCCAUCUGCUUUAUCUUGAUCAUUUUAGAAGUCAAACAUUAUAUUAGAGUAUAAUGGUACUUUAUAUGAUUUAAAAUAAUGCAUGCAAUAAUUGCAGCUCUGAGUAAUAAAAUAUGAAAAUGAUCACUUUUCUACAACAUUACUGAACUGGGUUAAGGAGCAAAAUCUAUGGUUCAAAGCAACAUACACAAUCAUUUACACCAGGUGUAUGUCAUGAGCGGUAUAACAAACAUCAGUCACAUGACUCAGGCAGCCAAAGAAGCACAGCAACAGAUGAUUUCAGCAUAGAAUUCCUAUAUGUAGCAGAGGAUGGCCUACUCGGCCAUCAGUGGGAAGAGAGGCCAUCCUCUGCUACAUAUAGGAAUUAUUAAAGAGGUCUUGCAAAGAUUCUAUUCCCCAGCAUAGAAUCCACAUUACACGAUACAGUAAUAGCUAUUAGAUUUCUAUGUAUUUGAGCUUACUAACAAGCAUAGAUGUAGAACAAAAAGUCAUUAAACUCUGGUCCUCCUAACUGGAGUUGGUAAAGUAAAGAAGUAGAAGAAAUAAGGUCAUAGACUUCUGGUGGAUCUCUAAAUUGGCCCUGCCACUUUUACGAAUAAUAUAAUCAUAGUCAUUGAAAUUAGAAAUUCCCAUAAACCUCCAUUCAGUGCUUCAAUUAUACUGAAACACUUACAUUUUUGCCUGAAGAAUUUUGCAAAGAAACUCUGGAAAGUGCAUGCAAUGUUCAUCAAUGGCUUGCAGAUUAAAUGUCCUCUGACUAUAAGAAGGGAUAAUACCCAGUAGCCACAAGUGACCCUUUGAAUGUGCAUUAAAAAUAAACUAUGACAUUAAAGAUAAAUAAUUAUGUGCAUCUGAUUAUGACUUCCACAACAUAAAAAUGAACAUGUAAUCAAGCAGCAAAUAUACUUUAUGGACAUAUAUAUGCAUGGAAAAGUGACCUAGUUGGGAAUUAUAAACACAAAGUGCAGUAUAACAAAUAACAUCCUAAGUAGGGGAGAAAAAGUUCAAGUGUUUGCAAGCAUAAUAGAAAACAUCUCAGCUUUAAUUAUACUGCUGUAUAAUUUAAUAGAAGAAAUACCUUAUGAUCCAGGAAUUCACUCAACCUUAGACCAGUAAACCAACUCAAAAAAUAUUUGCUGAAUAUCCCAUUUGGUGAGCCUCUUAAAGCCAUGGCAGUUAUAGAAGUAUCAAGAAUAUUCCUUGUAAAACAUUUACCAGUCUAUGGAAUUAUAAGUAAGUGAAUCCUAAUUUAAUAAUCCAGAACCAAUUGCUCUUAAUCUAUCUACAUCAAUAUAUAUGUUGCAUAACUUAUUUAUUGUAAGCUUAUUUAUAUAGAGUGGUCCCCUAGCUUUGCUUUCUAGAGUUCCAGUAAAGCUUUAAGAAGCUACAACCUAAGGUAUUUUAGAAACUCUAAAUAAAAAAAUUCAUGCUUUAAAUUGCAUCCUUUCCUCACUAGGGUAAAAUUUUGUGCUGUCACAUUGAGUCCCCACAUAAGGGAUCAGAGUAUCUGCAUUGUAUACACUAACCUCCAGUCAGUCAAUUGA